AUGCCCUGUCUCAGUUUGCAUAGUUAAAGAGAAUGAUAAUUAAGAUCCCUUGUCUUAACCAGAAAAUAAUGACUUGGAUGUAAAUAGAAAACUGGCGAUAGUUUAAAAUAUUCUUUCAUAGCACCAAGAUAUCAGUUACCGUUCUAGGGGAAAAAAAAACGAAGAAUUUUUUUUUGUAAUCAAGACGGAUCUAACAACGCAGUCUGGGCUCCGUGCCAAAGGCUGGUAUUUCACAGCAGCGACCGCCUUACAGAUGAGCUGUGGGAAGCAGGAGGGAGACUCUCUUAGGGUGCCACUACUAUGGAGACACAGCUGGGCUGAACAAGAUUUGCUUCAAACGACAACAAGAGAGACAGAAAGUGUCUGGUUCGACCGCUGCCCAAGCAGGCAGUAACCAGAAGAGCUAGCAGCCAAUCCGGCCAUGCUGCACUGUUCGAAACCAGCUCUACAUCCCAGCCAAUCAGUGACAUCACUGGCCUGGAAAGUAGCAUUUUCUGUAGAUGCCAGCUUCUGUCUUGUGUGAUGCCUCAUUCUUCUGGUGAUGCCACAUGCAGCACUUAGUACUGGCAAAUGAAAGAGGUCUCUUGCAAUAAGGUGUACUUCCAGGUGUCUUUCCGUUUUGCAGCAGUGCCAUGUUUGCUGUUUUACAAGCCACAGAGCAUGAGAAGCCAACUUCAGGAGUAUGCAUUUUGUGAUAUCCUCAGCGUUUUCUUUUACAAUGCAUUCUGCUCAGGCCAGUGAAUUUUGUUUAACUGACCAGUGAAAGAAAAAGAAAGUUAAAAUGAGAAAUGAAACUGAAGUUAAUUAUACCAGAAUUCAGCGAAGCUGAACGGCUUCCCGAAGAGCACUGAGUUUUCUAUGCCAGAUUCUGCUCCAGUGGCUAGGACCUUUAUGGCUGCUGUUUCUUUUGCUCUGGGCUCUGAUGGAGGAAAAAAAAAAAAAAAAAAGAUCCCGUCCCUAAAGUAGAAAUUUUCUUUUUCAUUCUGCAAACAAGGCUAAAGAUCGGAGGAGAAUGAAUGCGAAAGUAAUUUGGGAUUGUGGUCGUGCCAUUAAAAGUGUUCGGCUUCAGAAUGAAAUUAUUUGGGAAAUCUGAGCAUUUCUUCUUACUGUAUCAACAGUAUUUGAAAGUUAUGUGUGCUUUGAGUAAUCUGGUUCAAGUGACAACAAUCUUUGCAUGUCAAUGUUUUCUACAGCUUAUGGAGCAAAAGCUAAUUUUGCCAUUGGAAAGGAAGAAGCUUUUGCUAGCAGCCUGUAGAAGGAUUAAAUGUUGAACGUGGGGAAGAGGCAAAAAGUGAAUACACGCCCAAAGGUUAUCCUUGCAUCGUGAUGGGUUUAAAGUACUCUAACCCAGGGCCCACCUGAACAGUAGGACUAAAAGUAUAAUGGGGAAAUAUUUCAAUUAGAAGCCCCUUAACAAGCAUUUAAUCCUUCUUUCAGGCAUUAAGGGAAAUAGCAUAAAAUUGUUAUUGUACCAAUCUGCUGGAAGCAGAUUUUAACCCAUUUUUAGAUGCUUCCCUCUGAUGCAUUAUAAUAUGGCUACUUGCAGGACGAGGAAGUGAAAAUUUUUUUCCUGUAUUCUGUUUUUUCUUUUCAAAAGUUAAGGACUAUACUCUUAAGAAAAGUCUGUUCAGUCAGCUGAUACAUUGUUUGAAUGUAUGUAUGCGUCUUGCCUGCUUAUUUGAUCUUUUCUGCCCCCUACUUGAAACUGUGGUUUGUUUAUCUGGGGGGAAGGAGGGGUUGUUAAUUUGAGGGGGAUGUUGGUUUUUGGGUUGGUUUUGGUUUGGGUUUGGGUUUUUUUAACAAUAGCAGUGAAAGUUUUACUGGCAGUGAUUAUGACUCCUAAGCAAUUCAGUUUAUUUGAAGACGAAUUCUACUGGAUCAUAUCGGACUUUUCCUAGUCCCUGAGACCCUAACUUGUGAGGUUUUUUAGCAACAAUCACAAGUCAGGCUCUUGGGACCUAGGCGGAGGGGAACCAGCAGCUUUGGACUGUGAUUGUGUCUCUGCAGAAUUUAGAGAACCAAAGGAGCUUUCCUUGUCUGGAAGGGAAAAAAAGAAAAUAUACCUAUUACAAAUGUUAAGUAGCAGAACUGUUCCUGAAAGAACUGUUAUCCAUUGUGCAACAUUAGGCUUUUACAUAUUUGUGUGUUUAGAAAGCUAGACUAGAUGCCAUGUAACAUUUAGAAUUAAAAUUUAACCUGAAUACCAGUUUGCACCUCAAAAAAAA